UCCAAACUUUCAAAGUUUAAGCCAAGACACAAAGGUAAGAUUACAAAUUCAGGCAACUCAGGAGGGUAAAUGCAGUUUAUCAGGAAGGUUUUCACAGCUCAUGCACAUCUCCUUUGUUUCAUCUGGUUCCUUCUAUCUGUAGCAAAAUGGCAGUGAAGACUGAUGGUCAAGACUUUGCAUUUUACCUGAAACAGAGGAAUUAGAUAAGAAUGUCAAUAAAAGCAUUAACUGGAAUGUCAAUAAAAGCAUUAAUUGAUCUUUUAAAUACUUCUGUAUUUUUUUCUCUCUUUAUAAUCUUACAAUCUGAGAAAAGCCUGCUAGAAGACCAGAACCUGUUAUAUAAAAUAACAACAAAUCAGAAGAAGUUUUGGUAUGACGCACUGCUGUUGCUCUGCUAUCAACCAGAAAUGGACUGAUGGAGAACACCCCCAGCACGUCCAGUCCUGCGACUGGCUGGGCAAGCAUGCCGCUCCGAUUCACCUCUCCAACACCCAGGGAUUGUCUGAAACGAAUAAUAAGCUGCCAACUCUGAAGCAAGAAACAGCAUGUGUUGCUGCCCAUGCUCAACACUGAACUUCGAGCAAGCAAAGCCAGACCGCUGCUGACCAUCAUGAUGAGACCAGAAGCUGAUGACCCUCUACGUCCAUCCAUCUUUUUUUCCAGUU